rnacentral:rRNA from 1 species
UACGGAGGGUGCGAGCGUUGUCCGUGAAUCACUGGGCGUAAAGGGCGCGUAGGCGGCGCGGGAAGUCAUCGGUGAAAGUUCAGGGCUCAACUCUGAAUCGGCCGGUGAUACUCUCGUGCUUGAGCACUGUAGAGGCAGGUGGAAUUCCGGGUGUAGCGGUGGAAUGCGUAGAGAUCCGGAAGAACACCGGUGGCGAAGGCGGCCUGCUGGGCAGUAGCUGACGCUGAUGCGCGACAGCGUGGGGAGCAAACAGGAUUAGAAACCCGUGGUACAGUCCGAG